rnacentral:rRNA from 1 species
GACAGAGGUGCCGAGCGUUAGGCGGAAUCACUGGGCUUAAAGCGUGUGUAGGCGGCCCGUUAAGUGUCCCGUGAAAUCCCCCGGCUCAACCGGGGAACCGCGGGGCAUACUGGCGGGCUUGGGUCGCUCAGGGGCAAGCGGAACAGGCGGUGGAGCGGUGAAAUGCGUAGAUAUCAGGAAGAACACCCGUGGCGAGGGCGGCUCUCUGGGACGGUACUGACGCUGAGACGCGAAAGCGUGGGGAGCGAACAGG